GAUUCAGAUGGCCAGGAAAUAUCACAACUCACCACCACGAGCAGUAGCCAGGGACGAGUGGAAAUCUAUACGCUCAGUUAAUGUUUUCCAGCUCCUCCGGGCACCGCUGCCCUGCAGACUUCUGCCAUCCGCCCAGGAGUGGAGGGCUGCUCUGCUUGGAGGAGAUUUUCCUAUAAAAAGAGCCCCCUGGCUGUUAUCCUUUGCAGUGUGAAGUGGAAAAUUACCUGGAUGAAGUUUCACGUGAAGCAGUAAGUUGUUGGAAACAGCUGGAGGAACUUCUGAGCUGAUCACAGAUAUGAAGCAAGUUCUGAGCGGUGCAGAGCUAAAGGGAAGAGAGAGCAAAGAAGAAAGGAGUGUGAGUCUGACCUCAGGGACCUGGCGCCCAGGUCUCCUGGGCAUGAGAAGCUGAGGUUUGGUCAGUGACAAGCUCCUCUGCCUACCUUUUAGGAUCCCUUCGAUCAGCCCUCACCCCAACUCUCCAACCUGAAUGACUGUUGGGUGGUUUCUACCAAGGGCAUAAUGGAGUAGAGAGACCCAGGGAGAAAGCAAGGCACCAAUCCAGCCUCAGCUCUGCCACUUGAUAGCUGUGUGACCUUAGGCAAGUUAUCUAACCUCUCUGGGCCUCAGCUAGCUAUUAUUGUCUUUAUUAUCAUGUUAUUCUUGCCAUCAAGAGUUACAAUCUCUGGGCAAAAGGAUGAACAUGCCUUGAAACAAAAGCAAAUCGUGUGCUCUGCCCUACUGGAGUUCACCAGAACUAGUACAAGCCAGGCUGGAGCAACCCAGGUUGACUUCAGGCAGGAAGCAGCAUUUGAGCAGGGCCUGAAAGGGCAGAUUUUGGAUGGACCUGGGAAAGAGAGAAGAAGCAGGAGGCAUAAAAUAUUUAGGUGAAACCACAAAGGCAGGAGUGGGUGUGGGCUGCCUGGAGGACAGAGGGGAGCCUGGGAACCACACGGAUGCCACAACUGCCUGCUGGCCCUGAGGACUGAAAGGCUUCUGAAAACAUUGUUCUGAAAAGGGUCCACAGGCUCCCUAUCAUCCCGAGAUGAGAGAAAGCUGACCUAAAAGAUGGGCUCCUUCCACCACUCCUCAGUUCUUCAGCCGACACGGCCCAUCCAGGUCCCUGGGGUUUGAUGGACGGGGGCCCUACUGCGCGUAAGGCUCUCGGGGAAGAAUACAGGACUUCUUGUUUUCCCUCAGUCAACACCACAUGGACACGUCAGCUUCAGCCCCUGAGUUUUCAGCAUGGCCCCUAAUUGAAUCACAUUUGUCUUUGUCAGGCCAUGGGUCCCAGACAGGGGCUCAGACACCGUGGCCACAGAACACAGGAACUCCUCAGGUGCAUGACUAACCCUCGAGCAACAGCCAGCCUUCCACAGCUUGCCCACGAGGACCCGGUGCCCCGCCAGGCGCCGGCCCUGAGCGACGUGCAAAUGCAUUCUGCAGGCAGCCAGCCUCGGCUCUUCCUCAGCAGCGGCCGAGGGGCUGUGAAGGGACCCUUUUCCUCGCAUGUGACUCCCCCAGAUAGUGCAUGUGUGUCUGAAACAUGCUUCCGCGCAGAGGGAAACUCCGAUGAAGGCGGAGCCCCCUGCUCCGUCACCAGUACUCCAGCCCCCUGUGGCCCGGAGGGCCCCAGAUCCCCUUCUCCAGAUCACUCCUGGAACCCCAGAACGGUUCCCUGGGAUCCAAGACCCAGCAAAGGAGCCCACAAAGGAAAAUAACCUUGAAAUUGCAGGAUCAGAGGCCUAAACAAAGGCAGGCAAAUUGUAAGUGCCCCACGGGCUGGCCAGAGAGUGGCCCUCUGUGCUGGCACUGGGCAGGGCCCUGAGGAGGGAGCUGGGCUCCGUGGGUAUAAUGGAGCAGCCCGGGGCUUCACAAGGGCAGGUGCUCUGCACACAUUGCAGGGCUGCGGGUGCCUGGAUGGACCAUGGAUGCAUCUACUGUGCUCUCCUGUUCUCAGUGCUAGAGAUGUUCACUUCACCGUGCCAUCACAAUCUCUGUCCUGGCCAUGGCUGGCAGGCCCAACAACCCCAUGCCAGAAAUGAUUUAAUCUAAGCAUGAACAAAGGAUGCAGGAGCAGAGGAGAGAGUGGCUCACGCUCCUGGGAGUGCUGGGACCUCCUCUGGGUUGGACACUGUCAUGCACCACCCGGAUGGAUCUCCCUUCAAGGAAGAACUUGCUUCCGCAGCUGCUGGGAGUGGUGGCAGCAGACAGCCCUUAGCUGUCAGCCCCUCGCCAUUGCCUCAGCUGCAGGGAGUUGUCUUCUCAAGGUCAUGCCCUUUGCCAGGCAGCCCACAUCCGCGACGGAUCAAUGUGAGGUGCUGGGAAAAGCUGCCUCAGCCCAAAGCAGGUCCACUGACUGGGCCAUGCCAGCUGCAGAGCUUCUGCAGGUCCGGCCGAGGCUGUCAUCGGGCCUGCUCGGCAGCUUGACUUCUCCCUCCGCCCGUACCUGCUCCCUACCCCCUGCCCCAGGUUCCCAGGGCCCUCCUUACUAAACAUAAACCCCUUCUCAGAGUCUGCCUCCCAGGGAACCCAACCUGCAACUACUUUCCCUAAAGAGGAGGCAGCGUUGUCCACCAUGUGCAGGGCCCAAGGCAGGAUGCACACCCCUUGGUGGCUGCCCCCGUUAGCAGCUGGCAUCACGAUGCUGAACGAGGAGUGGUCCCACUUGCACACAGCUAUGCCUAGUGGGCUGACAGUGUAGAAAGGGCAACAAUAGACCCUUUCUUGGUGUUCUGAGGAGCACCAAGGGAUGUAUUUGCCUGAAGGGGUAAGAGGUGGCUUCCAUAGGAGCUGACAGUGCGUGCAGCUUUGAAGGAGGAGAGACAGUCCACAGGCAGAGGAGAGACAAGGCCCAGGGUGGAGGUCCUGCACCCCGAAUAUUUGCGUCGCCACAGAUGCGUGGAGAAAGGAGGCCUGUUGGAGGCCUAUGGAAGAAAUUGUGAGAUGAUCCAGGAGAUGUUUCCAGAAAGGUAGGCGGGGACCAGCCCAUGAGGGCCUCAUUUGAGCUUUAGUUUGGGGACAAUAGGGAGGCUUUGAGGAGUUUUAAGCAGGGGAACAUCAACAUCACGUUUGUUUGCUGGGAAAAUGACUAGGGUGGCAGAGACUGAUGGAAGGCGAGAACCCAGUUGGAGGACCUGAAUGAGAACCAAGGUGGGCUGAACUAAGAGGGCAGUGGGGGUGGGGAAUGUUACGCUGUUUCAGAGUCACUACGGAGGGGUGGGUUUUAGAACAGGAAGCCUGGGCAGAAGCCCUGCCUCUCACAGCGCUUCUGCGAACUUCGACGUCCCGGGGCCUCUGUGAUCCUACAUCUCUCCCUCUUCAGUAAAUGCCUACCUCACAGCCCUGUGGCCAGAAGCAAACUCGAGAACACAUGCAGCAGUGCCUGGCAUGCAGGAAAUGCUCAAUACCUUUCAUUGUUUAUUUCUUUACUUUCCAUACGAGGGGUUUCUGUCACCCCAGGCUACCGAUGAAGACCCUGAGACCGCUGCAAAGAAAACAGGAGUUGGACAGUAUAG
rnacentral:lncRNA from 1 species